GACGAACCGUGCGAACGUUGUUCUGAAUCACUGGGCUUAAAGGGUGCGUAGGCGGGUUGUCCAGUCUGGGGUGAAAUCCCACGGCUCAACCGUGGAACUGCCUCAGAUACUGACGACCUCGAGGGAGGUAGGGGCGAGCGGAACUGUGGGUGGAGCGGUGAAAUGCGUUGAUAUCCACAGGAACUCCGGUGGCGAAGGCGGCUCGCUGGACCUCUUCUGACGAUGAGGCACGAAAGCUAGGGGAGCAAACGGG
rnacentral:rRNA from 1 species